CAUUUAGAGGAAGUAAAAGUCGUAACAAGGUCUCCGUUGGUGAACCAGCGGAGGGAUCAUU
rnacentral:rRNA from 1 species